GCGGACGUGGUGGAAUUGGUAGACACGCUGGAUUUAGGUUCCAGUGCCGCAAGGUGUGCGAGUUCGAGUCUCGCCGUCCGCACCA
rnacentral:tRNA from 1 species